rnacentral:rRNA from 1 species
UACGUAGGGGGCGAGCGUUGUCCGGAUUUAUUGGGCGUAAAGAGCGUGUAGGCGGUUCGGUAAGUCUGUCGUGAAAUCCUGAGGCUCAACCUCGGGCGUGCGAUGGAUACUGCCGGGCUAGAGGAUGGUAGAGGCGAGUGGAAUUCCCGGUGUAGCGGUGGAAUGCGCAGAUAUCAGGAGGAACACCAAUAGCGAAGGCAGCUCGCUGGGACGGUACUGACGCUAAGGCGCGAAAGCGUGGGGAGCGAACAGG